UAUUUGUGAGACGUUUAAUUUUUUUGUGUGUGAAAAUUAAAGAAAAAACCCAAAAUAAGACUUAACUCAAGUCUACAUCAUAUCACUUGGCAGCAACCACUUUAAAAGCGGCCUACAGCAUCAAUCAUCUCAACAGCUGUUACAUUCAAAAGUUUGCUACACUCACGAAACGGAUUGGCAUGCUUUCUCAGCGCAACGUACGAAACACCUGAGCAUAUGGGCGCAUUAUAAACGAAAACUGUGAGUUCGUCGGUAUUUUCCGAGUCGCUCAUUUUUCGGCGGAGUUUGAUGAAAGGCUACAGAACUCUGCGACAGCAUAAACUCUCAGCUGUAUUCGUCGUUUUGCUUCCGCUAAAUUGUCUUCACCGUUAAAUUGCCGGUGUGCGAGUGCGCUCGUGAGCAACGAUUCGUAAGUAAGCGAGUUGACUUUUCGCCGCAAUUGUUAUACUUUCAACACGCCGUUGCAGUGCCAAUAAGACACUCGUUAAUUUCUGUCGUAUUUUCGCCGUACGCGAGUCGUGCUCGUGUGUUAUUGCUGUUGUGUCGGUGUUAGUGGCUCGUUGGCACGUUUGAUUAGUCGCUAGUGUGUUUAUUUAAUACAAAUCCUGUCGCUCAGCGAACUCAGUUCGUGUUUGAAUUUCGUGAUGUGCGGUUAUCAAUUUGCGGCUGCUACGAGUCAGCAACAAAAAAUCGUCUAAACGAAAUAUUCGUCGGAUAUUGGACUUCAAUGAAAGCCGAAAAUAAUCGUAUACUUAGAAAUGCGGUGAUGAACGAAAAUGAUGUGUGGUUAAAUAUUUCAGAAUGGAAAUGAUAACUCAUGUGGCGUUCAGUAGUUGAAAACAGAGUUAAAAGCAAUUGAGUAUGCUGGCAUAACUUGCAACUUGCAACAUUAAGAGAAACGAAAAAAACAAAAGAAAACGUAAAAAAAUAAACAGUAAAGAAAAACAUAAUCAAAGGCAAGGUAUAUGCAUCAUCAUAAUUGAUAAAAAUAAUAUUACUCAAAACAAACGCUCAAAUAUCAAAUCAAGUGCUCAAAUUAUUUAGAAUUUGAUUGAAA
rnacentral:lncRNA from 1 species